GGAAGUACUCUGAAUGUGUGCCUGAAAAAAUGGGCCAAUUUCUGCCCCCCUGUUGCCUAAAUUCUCUGACACUGGUGUCUGUACAUCCAUUUCAGUGGCAGGAUUCUGAUGUGAAGGACCCUUGGACUAAGAGAUGAAAAAUAACUUUCAGUAAUGAAAAUGUUUCUGAGUUCAAGUGAGCUGAUUCACCUUACACCUUAUUUGCUGAGGAGAUGGAGUAUGUACACGCAAGUAACAAGUGAGGAAGCUAUUGUAAAUCAGCUGCUGGAUGGCAGCUAGGCUCUCUAUACUCUUACCCUGUCAUAAAUGCAAGUGUGUCCUUAAACUGACUGCAAUAAGAAAAUUCAAUUCUCGGAAAUGAAACCUAUUGCAAAAAUUGUUCCAAGCUGCGUGUCUUCUUCCACACUAGAAGUGCACAGCUGCUCAAGGUCUUCUGAAGCAAGAAAUUCAUUCUGUUUGGAAGCUUGAUAUAGUGCUUUUAGCAUUCGUAACCAAACCCAUCCUGUGAUUUAUGGGUUAUGGUGACUCAUUUUAAUGUUGAUACGUUUAUUCAAAACAUAGUCUAAAUAAAGGUUUAGUGUCAAUCACAUUUACAAACACUACAGUUCGAAAUAAUUAAAACAAACAGAAGAAAAAAAUGCCUGCUAGUUAAUUCCACUUAUACAUGUAUUUAUUAUUAUGCAAAUUAGGGAAAAACCUUUUCAAAUGGUGUCAUCCCAUCCUUCUGCAGCAUUUACCGUAUCUGUAUUGAAGCUACUUCACUCUGGCUGCCGAGAUGCUGGGCUGGAAAUCAGGAGGGCUGCUUCACUCCUGUUUUCAGGCGCUCAUCUUUAGUAAAGGCAGUUGGUCCAUCAGCUGCACUAUUUCACGAACUGUAAGAUGAGAAAUACCCUUCCUUAUAAAAUACUGUGAGAUCGAUGUAUUUAAAGCAGUCAUCCAGGCUUUCUUUGUCUGUGGUGCUUUCUGAACUUUUUUUUCUUUUCU
rnacentral:lncRNA from 7 species